ACUCCUACGGGAGGCAGCAGUAGGGAAUCUUCCACAAUGGGCGCAAGCCUGAUGGAGCAACACCGCGUGAGUGAAGAAGGGUUUCGGCUCGUAAAGCUCUGUUGUUAAAGAAGAACACGUAUGAGAGUAACUGUUCAUACGUUGACGGUAUUUAACCAGAAAGUCACGGCUAACUACGUGCCAGCAGCCGCGGUAAUACGUAGGUGGCAAGCGUUAUCCGGAUUUAUUGGGCGUAAAGAGAGUGCAGGCGGUUUUCUAAGUCUGAUGUGAAAGCCUUCGGCUUAACCGGAGAAGUGCAUCGGAAACUGGAUAACUUGAGUGCAGAAGAGGUAGUGGAACUCCAUGUGUAGCGGUGGAAUGCGUAGAUAUAUGGAAGAGCACCAGUGGCGAAGGCGGCUACCUGGUCUGCAACUGACGCUGAGACUCGAAAGCAUGGGUAGCGAACAGGAUUAGAUACCCCUGGUAGGAUAGCG
rnacentral:rRNA from 1 species